CAAGGCUAAAUACUCCUGACUGACCGAUAGUGAACCAGUACCGUGAGGGAAAGGCGAAAAGAACCCCUGUGAGGGGAGUGAAAUAGAACCUGAAACCGUAUACGUACAAGCAGUGGGAGCGGUUCUUGAGACCGUGACUGCGUACCUUUUGUAUAAUGGGUCAGCGACUUACAUUUUGUAGCGAGGUUAAGCGAAUAGCGGAGCCGUAGGGAAACCGAGUGUUAACUGCGCGUUUAGUUGCAAGGUGUAGAC
rnacentral:rRNA from 1 species